GGAGAGCAGCAAGAGAAAGAAAGAGAGAGGCAAGCGAAAUUCCUGAAUGGAUAGACAGAUGCUACGUCAUCGGAGCUGCAUCCUCCACUCCACAAGAGGCUAGGAGCUGGGGGGAGAGAGGCAGUCCAGCCGCAGGGGCCACCCGAACAGUCUCUCCUCCUCACAGAAGCCUGGAGCUGGGCAUCCAAGAAGAAGCAGCCUCAUUUGUUUUCUGGUGUCAUCGUAGGUGGCCACCUAUGGCUUUUGGGACCAAAAAGAAGAAUGUACUUCAUCUGGUUGGGCUGGAUUCCCUCUGAUAAGCCUUCCCAGUUGACUGAAAGAUGAGGCUAGGCUCUAGCAAGUUGAAGUCAAACCAGCUCCUUCAAGAAGCUUUGAGCAGAAUGAAGUGGGGAGGACCCAGCUUCCAGCCCAGGAAGCCCACUGUACCUGGAGCCAUCUGGGAUAAGACUUUGACCCAUGACUCCCAUAUCCACAGCCUGUCCAUCCUAGCCCAUCCCAGUUUAUCCUGUAUCAUUUGAGCUGGGAUUCCCACAUCCUCUGAGUUGGAAGUCCCAUCUCAAGUCUUCAAUAAAGACUCUUGAAUAUUGAAUCACAUUAAAAAAAAAA
rnacentral:lncRNA from 1 species